GUCGUCGUAGCUCAGCUGGUAGAGUAUGCGCGUACAAUGCGUAGGCGGCGUCCAUGCGUGGAUUCGAAUCCCACCGAGGCCA
rfam:Echinostoma caproni strain Egypt genome assembly, scaffold: ECPE_contig0009942